CUUGUGUGUGGUGUUUGUGCUGUCUUCUGCAAGCCUGCAUGUGUAACCAGGCUAUCCCAAAUACAGAGACAUGACUUCAGAAAUGUGUCUGAUAGCUGGGACAACAGGCUCAGUUCCAGGAUUCCCCACACUGAUCCAGGCAGUCUCCCUCAACCUUGACUUGCAGGGACCAGAUUGUAGAUGGGAGAGUCACUUUCCAUCCUUUGCUGCUUAAUCCAGGAAGUCCUGAUGACUCGGAUCUAAAGGUGACCAGGGUCUGAGGCAGAUAGGGAAAAUAAUUUGCUGUAGACAGAGGUGUAAGCUGUGUGCCAAACAAGAGCGCCGUUUCAACUUCAAGAGACUGCAGCACAUACAACAUGGGCGCCACUAUCAGUGACAGCACAUACCACCUGCUUUAAGUUAAGGGCAUCCAGCACAUUUUGCUCAGAGGAGGCAAUGUUCUCCCCAGUAUGGCACUCCUCAGCAGGAAUGCAGCCAAUGUAUUUUACAGUUAAAUUCCACUCCAGGUCAACAAAGUGGCAUGUCAUGGCAAGAUUUUUGAUACAGGUCCACAGAUCAAAAGUAAUGGCAGCAUGUGAUGUAGACAUUAGUUUUGUUUUAAAGUACCCACAUGCCUGAGUAUGCAUUGCUCAACAGUGUUCCGGACACUGUCUUUCUUGAGGGUGGUUGGUAUCCUGGACAAAGCAGGUUCAGGAUCUUUCUGAAAAGAUUAAAGUUCCAUCAAAACACUUUCUACAAAAAAGAUGGCCUUUUACAAACAAGGCUUUCAAAAGUA